rnacentral:lncRNA from 1 species
UCCGAAUAUGUUUGCCGGGAUUAUCGAUGCGCUCCAAAGGAUUUCUGCAUUUCCACCGAUUUGCUCUGCGCUGGCGUAGGAUGGCGUCAAUCACUUCGGCGAUAAUACGGACGAAACGUCACUCUGCGCAGACAGCGAUCAACAUUUCAAGAUCCUCGGACUGAAUUUGCCGGUCUUUAGAGCAGUGGCCGGAAGUAUCGGUGUUGUCAUUCUCUGCGCAGUGACGGCCAUUAUCGUCGUCUGCUGCUGUCGGAGGAAGAAACCGCCUACAACUUCUGCUGGAGCAGCAGCAGCAAGUGGCAAUAAAGGUCGACUAGUCGACGAUGGCAACCAGCAGCAAAAACGCAUUGCCAAUUUGUUGUCCAGCUGUGUCCAACGAUUCUGCUGUCGAAAUGCGGAUGGGCUCCCGCGCGCUCCCGCCAAACGAAUUUUCUCUGCUCAAAAUUUAAUGAGAGGGCGAGGCGGCUCGAACCUCUCGUGCCUCACGUGAAAACAUCAACAGCCGCGAGCGGAGUAAAGAAACGAAGGAGAACGAGAGAACUCGCCAGACGCAGCCAACGCCAGCAACAACGCCACGUCCGGCCAGAGUGUGAAGUGCUGACAUACGUAAAGACAACAAUGACGCCGCCACACACAAGUCGAGUCCCGAAGGUGGUCCGUCGCAGCCGAGCCACGCCAAACGGCCAAACAGGGACGCCGGCAGACAUCCAUCGUCGUCGACAAAUUCCUGACUGAAGUUGUGGUUACUAUGAACUUCACAGUCGGAGUUUAGCCGCUUGCUUCCCGCUCUGGCUCUUUGAAGUUUGCAGAGAUGCCAGAGUCCCGGAGAUGCGGACGUUUAUUGCAUAUCUGCAAAUGGCAAUGUUGCCCGUUCUUUUCAAGAUGGCGGCUGGAAUUCGACACAGCGUUCAGCAGGAGUGACGGCUUUUCCCGGCUGAUUCCUGACUGGAGAUUUUUGCGGUGUUGUGGAUGUGUGGACUACAGAAGCAGAUUGCUGAUUCAAAUGUGUUCUUGCAUUUCUUAUGUCGUGGUUUCACAGCCAGGUGAAGUCUGAGCUUCUUCAAUGCUGUCUAUUGUGCUCAUGGUUUUGUUGCAGCCAGCUGAUUGGUGUUAUGAGCUGCUGCAUGCAGUCCAUCGUGCUGGUGUGGUGAGCUGCUUCCUUGCAGUCUGUGGUGCUGGUGUUAUCCUGAAAUGUUUGCUGUAGAUUCCUGAUAAGGUUUCCGUGUGUGGGGUGUGUGGUGGCAAUGAGGACUACAGAUGGACAUGCUUAGAUGAGCAUAUUCAGUCAGGAUAUGCCUAUUAAGAUGUGUUCUUGUAUGUAUUUGAUUGUAGCAUAAUUUCAUUUUCUAGAGAAUUGUCAUGGUGUUGUUGUUAAUACCAGUUAGCGUCGCUCGUUAGUUAUGGGGAGAAUGUGUUCUUUUGCAAUGUGUUUCAGAGGUUUUUCGGUUUUGGGUAUAGAUUCUAACAGAUAUAAAAUAUAUUUUGUCUGCCUCAAUAGUAGAACUUAUUGCAAACUGAUAUCAUGGUAUCCUCAUUCCUAUUCAUAUGAUUCUGUGUUUGAUUUGUUAGUGAAUAAUAAACAACAAUUAUAUUAA